rnacentral:lncRNA from 1 species
AUUAUCUUAGUUUGAUUUAAAUGUGAAAUUGUCUUAAGAAAUGCUUUCACAGGUUUCAUGAGCUGUUAUGGCCUGGAUUGUCUUGAAUUUCUGAUCCCCCUUUAACCUGUCUGGGUAGCUAAACCCCAAGCCCAAGACUACCCUGAAACAAUUAGGCCAUCUACCCCCAGUUGCUUGACUCACACAGGGCCUGAAGGCAGCUGCCCAGAGAAGUCAGAAGCUGACUUUCAGACUGCAAGGACCUGGCCUGCCCCCAGCCCUCUGCCAUCAGAAUAAAGAUGACUGACUGUUCUUCGCCUCCUGUUCUUUGGUCAGAACCUCUCCUUCCUUCACACCAGCCUCAAUAGGAACAAGAGGCAACAUUAAAAUUCACUGAUGGUUGAUUCAGUGGCGGAUGCAUUUGAGUCUGUAUAAAUGAUUAAUGCAUUUAAAGAAGGAUGAUGAUUUCUCUUACCUUUUUCAGGACCUUAAGUCUGACCUUCAUUAGAUAAAUACAGAGGAUGCACAAGGCAAGGAGAAAACGGGAAGUCAGGAGCACAGUGCUGAGCAAGUUUAUAAGUCCCUUUCUGACACAUGGCUCAGGGCUUGAACUCAACCUCAGAAGGGGCAGAGUUUGAGGGACAUGGAAAGAGUCCUGACUGAGGAGUCCAGCUGCUGCAGACCCAACCCAGGUUAAGAGGCUGGAAGGCACGUUAGUAAGAACAAGUGGGGAGAAGUAAUUUCUCCCAAAAGCAUCUUAGUUCCCUGUUACCUGGCGCCCAGCAACUCUCCAAGGUAGCCUUUCAGACACAUACCUCCAAAGGGUCCUGCCUGGUGACCUGGCCCUCUUUCUCCUACCCAUCCACUCUGCCCCCUGGAGCCCUGCAAAGUUCUGACCCUUCUCUCUGGUCCUUCCACAACUAGUUAACAAGAGGAUGGAGCCACAAAAGACAUUACAAUGUAGAGUUUCCAAAGGAAAAGAUGGGAAUGGAAAUGACUGAAGAAAUGCUCUACAACACUCUUGGUGACCUACUGAUCCACUUGAGGACAUCUUUGACAGCUUCAGUGAUGAAGAAGAAAGCCAGGAUGUUGUGAAUCAACUUCUUGAGAAAUCAGAAUUGAAAUUUCUGGAAAGAUGGGAAUAACGUGGGUUGCUCUAAGUUUAUCAUCUGCCUCUAUUUCAAAGGCUACAAUCUCCAAUGAGGAGACUGACCGGCAACUCAAAGCCUUAGGAAUAAUGGAUUUUGCUCACUUAUAAUUAUUUCGUAUAAAGCAAACUCAGUCCAGAUUGCUCUUAUGAAUCACAUUUAUUUUGAAAAAAUGAAAACCAGGAGUAAACAGUUGUUUCCAUUUUUAGGUAUUUUUAGUCUUUUACCAAAGAAUAAUAAUGAUGAAAAGAUGGGAAUAGUUUGAAUUUUAAUUAGAACUAUUCAGGAGUGAUGAUAUGUAAAAAGUUGAUUUCUGCUUGGCAUAGAGAUAUUAUAUUUAUCACUUAGUUUAUGUUGUAAAUCUGUUUAUACCAAAUACAAAAUUCUUGUCAAAUACCAUGAGGUACAAACUUAAAGAGAUUUGUAAAAACGUUGAAAUAUUUUUAUACAGAAUAUUAAUUCUGUAUCUGUUGAUUGUCCUUUGUAAAUGACUAUGUGUUAUGACCAGAGGUGGCUCAGCUGCCAAAAAAAAAUCUUUUUUUGCAUUGAAUUACUUAUUUAGAUACUUAAGCUGUUUUUGUAAGUUUGUGAACACUGACAAAUUAUUUCUCUCACAGAACUAUUGAUAGACCCAACCUGAUCUUUUCUUAAAAUUGGGCAUCUCGCCACAAAACCAUGAAAAGAUAAUUUCGGCUUUACUAUAAAUUAUUGCAAAUUCUGAACCUGCUUGGAAUGCCUGCCCGUGCCUUGAACUCACCCAUGCCUGGCUCUCUGACCAGAUAGCAGCCCUCUCUGAAACUUAGUGACACCUCAUAAAUAUUGGCCUUCCCUGGCCAGACAACGACCCUCUCUGAGGCUCUAAUGGUCCUCAUAAAUUCUGAUGUUGGGGCCAGCAAAAAAAAAAAAUGUAAACUACCAUUAGUGUGACGCUUGUCAGAGUUCUGUUAUCUGUAACCCCCCUUUUGUGUAACUUUCUGGGCUAUAAAGCUGGGCUGUAGGAAAGGUGGGGGGCUGUCUUGUUCCCUCCGUUUUGGGAGGGAGAGGCAGCCCGGCCGGUCGAAAUAAUAAGCUUGCUUUAAUUUGAUUUUAAUUGGAGUCAGUGGUCUUUUCUUGCGUCCUGGUCUAACACUAUAACCACACAAUCUCAGACAGUAUAAAUAUAUGGCUGGACUAAUAUUAAUACACAUUACCACCAGACAUGAUGGCACAGACCUGUAAUCCCAGU